CUACAAGCAUUACACUGCAAGUAUUUGCAACGACAAGUAUUUACUACUACAAGAUAUAUGUACUAUACUUCAUCAUGCAUACUCUAUCUAGCAUUUACUCUGGUCAUAGUCAUAAAAACGGUCGUUGUAGCCAGCUCUUUUGAUGCAUUUUGCAGCCGCAGCGUCACAAUCACACAAUUGUUUGCGGCAUUUCACAUUCUCGUGAAUACCAUCAUACCAACCGUACGCGCUUAGUGGAGCUAAAUUAGACAGAAACAUUUGAUUAAAAUAAAUAGCAAGAAAUUCAAUCUACAAUAUUAUUAAUGCCAUUGCAUUGGUGGUCCGGUAUAGAG